GGCAAAUGAGGUCAAAGCGAAUAAUUGAAUUGAAGAAUAAGCAUAUCAGGUUGAACUUCAGGAGGAUGGAGUGAUGAUCGGAGUCGAUGUUGUUAAACAAUCAAGUUGAUCUCCCAACGGUUCGUGUCUUCAUACACGAAGUCGUUUAGUAAUGACUUAUUCCGCUGUGUCUUUGUAAUGUGAGAAUUGUAGAAUCUCACCAGCAACUCUGAUUUAUUUGAGGAGACGUUCACUCUGUUUUCAAGACCAUGUAAUGAAAUACUCGGCUUCUAUGAUAUCAAUCGACUUGGUCUUUGUGCGAA